GCACAACGCGAAGAACCUUACCUGGGUUUGACAUGCAUCUCUAAGAUAAUGAAAGUUAUCGAACUUCGGUAAUUUGCACAGGUGCUGCAUGGCUGUCGUCAGCUCGUGUCGUGAGAUGUUGGGUUAAGUCCCGCAACGAGCGCAACCCUCAUGUUCUGUUGCCCUUCGGGGAUCUCUGAACAGACUGCCCAGGUCAACUGGGAGGAAGGUGGGGAUGACGUCAAGUCCGUAUGGCCCUUACACCCAGGGCUGCACACGUACUACAAUGCCCAGCACAAAUGGAACCGACACCGCGAGGUGAAGGAAAUCGAAAAAACUAGGGCUCAGUUCGGAUCGUAGGCUGCAAUUCGCCUACGUGAAGUUGGAAUCGCUAGUAAUGGCGCAUCAGCUACGGCGCCGUGAAUACGUUCCCGGGUCUUGUACACACCG
rnacentral:rRNA from 1 species